CAGUUUUAUGGAGCAAAGUCUUCAAGCCAAUGUCGUCUCGAGUAAGCAUGGAUACAAACAACCCCAGGUGCCUCGUAGAGCUUUGUAGGGAUGUGACUCCAUUAUAUGGAGAAAAUAAAUGAUCACAAAUCAUAAAACAAUACCAGUUAACACUUUGGGUGCAUUUCCCAUAUACUAAGCACUGAGCUGUACCCUGUACACUCUGCUUUUGCUGACUUCUCUUCACCGUUUAUGAAACAGUGACAGCUAGAGAGCUGUGCUACCCGCCUCCCUAGGCAAGAGGCAGGUCUCAUCAUCUCUGUUGACUAGUAAGGAGACUGAAAGGUUUUCUGCAGUUUCACAAUAUUCCCUUGUACAAAGGAUCCACAUUUUAAAACCAAUCCCCUGGAUGGAGUGGGUUAUUAGGCUGUUUCUAGUCUCGCUAUUACAGUGUUCCAAUGAAUAACGUUUCAUGUAUUAUAUUUCCUGCAUGUGUGACCACAGUUAUAAGACAUGUGCUAAAACACAUGGAAAUUCUGCAUUGUCAUUUUAGUUUCUAAAGAUCCUGGCAAAUGGCCCUUCACACGAAGUAAAUCAAUUUACUCUCCCACAAGCAAUGCGUAAUUAUUCCCUCAAUCUCUCUCAAUUUAGCAAUAAUAAGAGCAAUCCGUUAUGGAUGCCUACUAUAAUUCUAGACGCUGUUCUAAAUGGCUUGCAAACAUUAAGUCACUUAAUCCUCACAAAACUCUAAGAGAUAAAUACUAUUAUUAUUAACAUGUUACAGAGGAGGAAAUAGAUAGGCAGAGAUUAACAAACUUACCCAAGGUCAGCAGGGUGUGGGCCCCUACUUUUAAAUCUCACAUUUUAUGGUUUAAGCAUUAUUUUUGCCAGUCUGUUGGGUGAAAAGGGGUACCUCCUGGUAGCGUUUCUUUGCAUUUCUCAGAUGAGUAAGAUCAACAUUUUUUCCCACAUGAACACGCAGAGAGAAGAUAAUGUGAAGACACAGAGGGGGCACCAUCCUGAGAAGAUGGCUGUUGGGAUGACGCAUAUGCAAGCCAAGGAAUACCAGUGGCGGCUGGGAGCCACCCAAAGCUAGAAGAGACAUGGAAGAUUCUCCUCUAGAGUCUUCAGAGAGACACGGCCCUACUGACACUUGCAGCAUCCCAGAUCCAUGAGAGAGUAAAUGCCUAUUGUCCUAAGCCACCCUGUUUAUGGUAUUUUAUUUCAGUGGCUCCAGGAAACAAAUAUACCAGUUCAGACCCUAUGUCUAGGUUGCUGAGCAAUAAAACUCACAUCACUGAAGAAUGUACACCACCAUCCAUUCAUAGCCUUCAGCUUGAGCUGAAUCCUGAAUACCAGUCACCAUGCUUGGAGACAUCCCCAGCCUGGCUGUGCUCAUCUUUAUCAGUCUCCUCGCACCACCUAAAGCAGCCCCAUGGCUCUCGAUCACAUAUAAAGAGCAGCUGCAGCCGGGGUUGUGACUUGUUUAUGUUGGCAGUAGUCCACUGUCUUCUGCCUGGUUCUCUGGUUUAUGUUGGGGCCAUACGUUUAACUGACAAAUAAAUUAAAUGUGGACCUGAAAGGGACCACCACCCAGGAAUCCUUUAGGAGUUGCACGCAUUUCUGCCAUUUCUCUUGGCUUGUGAAAUUAUUUGAGGUUCACUAUUUUGGCCAGCAGGAGCAGUUUUAGGGGCGCAUACUUGGACUUCUCACAAUGUGAGCACUCUUACCAACGGGCCAAGGAAUCCACAUGAGCAUUCUGACAACUACCAAGUAUGUCCCCUCCAGCCAUACAUUCAGGGACUGGGGAACUGAACACUUUGGUCACUUCACGUUUCCCACAUGACCCAGGACUCCACACUGAUCACUGGGCCCAUAUGUGCCCCUACUCUACCAGAUCAAACUGGACCUUGGGUUCAACAGUCCUCAAAAUGUCUGGGGAUAUCCCUUUUCCCAGAGUAUAGUUACCUAGUAAAUGGCUGUAGACACCUUCAGAAAAGAAGUGGAAAGAAUCCUGAAUGAAUUCACCUGCUGUGCUGUUACAGUGGUCCAUCCUCAUGGUAACCCAGCCUGUCUUUGACUCAGUAUAGUAUGGGUUUGAAAACUGGCUCAGUUCUGGAAACUAGGCUAGGGAUUGUGAUAUUUUAUUGGGUUGUUUGCCCUCACCCUCCUAAUUAUCUAGCCUAGAUUUCUUUGGUGGUUUACGUCGGAUAAUAGCCUUGUGUCUACACAUCUAUCUUGCCUUAGGAACAUCAUGCUCCAUUAACCAUCUUCAUAGCUCUUGGUGAUUCAGGCUCUUCUACUUGCUAUGCCUGCAGUGUUGCUCCUUAUGAUAAUGACAUAAACUUUGCUUCAGAAGGUUGAAUGACAUCACCUGGCUUCCUUUGCCACCAUGGCUUUCAGGGACCCUAGUUAUGUAAAGCUGCUCCUGUCCUCAGCCCUGGCUUCCCGAAAAGAACAUCACUGAGUGCCACAACAGCACUGGUGCCCCCUCACGGCACAUCCCUUAUGGGCUUGAUAACCUGCAUUUUCUGGGCUCUCUCACGUUUGGUGGGUUUUCUGGCCUUCAUGAAGUAUAUCCACUCUAACAUGCCCACUUCUAUGAGCCUUUUGAUCCCUUGCUCAACCCUUUACCAGAGAGUUCUAGAAUUUCUACUUAAACGAGGAUGAGCCAUUAGUUUUCCAGUUCCAAAGCCAAUCUAGCAAUCUAGUAGCAUCAUCUUCAGUGGGCCUUACCAGUGUUAAACCCCGUGUCAAGUUCCAAAAAUUCUUGUUUCAUCAUUUUAAAUAUUAUUUAUUUUAUCCGUCCCACUUGAUUUGGCGUACUCCCCAAAGUUCUCUCCUAGAGCCUGCCAGUGUGCAUUGGCCAGAUUCUACAUCUCAUCUCCUGUUAAGCCCCUUUCCCUCCCCAGCAGGUGCAGCACCGCCCCAGCAGGUGCAGCACCGCCCCAGCCAGGUAUCAUUUCUCCAAGCAGUGCCUCGACCCUAGUUAUUGAUCUGGUGGGCAGGUGACUGAGGUAGACUUGUGUUUGCUUGAAAGGCCUCAGCAUCAUCUUCAGGGUAGGUGCACUUGCCUUUGAAAAGAAAGUGUGAGCUCAUUCUGUACAUUUGGAGUCCUUGUUUCCAGCAGAGAACAGGUAGCUUUUUUCUGAAGGGUAGUAAAAUACAUUCUCCUGAGCUAGUGGGCAUGGACCCAAAGCAGAAUAUAGACACAUCAUAUUAAUAGUUGUUGCUUAAUUGUUGUGAACAUCUCUGAGAAGAGCAUGAAGCUACAUUUAUUAUAUACGGAAGCAACAGAAAGGAAAGUUACAGCCGAGUCAGGGAAGUUUGUAUCACUGCUUCAGUAUGUGACAUACUUUUUCAUUGCUUUCAUUCUGUCAUUUCUACAAUACUAAAGACAUGCUAAGUUCUUAUGUGUCCAUCUGUUUAUGCAGAACCCAGAGCAGUCACAAGAUGUACGAAAAAUGGUUGUUUCUCAGACUCCCACCUGUUUGGAAAAUCCGCUUCCUAAGUAAGUUUAUCAUACAACUUCCUCUGUUGGUUUGCAGAUAUUUCAUUAGAUUUUUGUCUGGAGAGUGGGUGAAGGGAAGGGGAAGUGGUGGCAGUGAGUAAGGGAAGUGCAGGGAUAGAUGGUGCCCAGUAUCCAUGGAUCCCAACAGACUGCACUCAAAUGUGGUUGUUUUGAAGGGUCUGUAGCUGUUUGUAAAGGUAGUUAGUUAAUAUCAUUUUAUGGUGAGAAAGGCUUUGGAAUCAAAAUAGCUUUGUUUUCCUCAUUUCUCUAUCUAAUACUUGGAUGACCCUAGCCAAGUCGCUUAACUUCUUUCUGCUCUGGUUUCCACAUUGUAAAAGAAUGAGGAUAAUAAUGCCUUCUGUUCUGCUAAUCUCAAAAAGGUGCUAUUUGAAAUAUUAAUUAAUAUCCUGGUUGUAAAGCACUUUGUACAUUUUUAGGGACCACUAGGGUUGGUGAUGUUGCUCCUGAUAUAAUUGCUGCGGAGCAUUUGCAAACCAAAGGAAAACUCUUUGCUAAAGGGUGAACUUGUCUCUUUGGGAUAGUGGUUUGUUUUCUCUAAAAUUCCUAGGAUUUUAUUAUUGUUGUUUCAAACCAAAUAAGUUUGAAACUUAUUUUAAACAUAACUUGUCAAUAGUAUAUGUUUUAAAUUAAUGCUCAUUUCUAAUUUCUUUUUUUUUUGUAUUUUUUGUAUUUUCUAGGGCCAUACCCAUGGCAGGUGAAGGUUCCCAGGCUAGGGGUCUAAUUGGCGCUGUUGCUGCUGGCCUAUGCCAGAGCCACAGCAACGCCAGAUCCGAGCCACAUCUGCAACCUACACCACAGCUCAUGGCAAUGCCGGAUCCUUAACCCACUGAGCGAGGCCAGGGAUGGAACCCACAUCCUCAUGGUUCCUAGUCGUAUUCAUUAACCACUGAGCCACGAUGGGAACUCUUCAUUUCUAAUUUUAUGCUGUGACUAUUUAAAAACAGAUUUUUUACUCUGAAAAAUUAUCUACAGGUUGUAAGCACAGAGAAGGCAAACUGGUUUUUCUUAAUUGCUCCAAAGGACAUUCUAGCCUGAGGUGAUAAAUGUAAACUUUGUGGACAUGUUUCAGGAUCCGAAGUGAAUUUCUAAAUAUACAGAAUUCCAUGCAAGAAAAUGACCUUUUAUUUCAAAGUUAAAUUUGAGUUUAAAAAUAAAAGUCAGUAUGCUUUCUUUAAUAAUAUUUUUGGUAAAACAGAUCUGUCCUCCCUCUCCCCUCUUCCAAUGGUCAUGACCUUCAUUUCUAAGGAAAUUACACAAGAUUUUUCUGCUGCUCAGUAUUGCUCCUUUUUGACCCCAUCCUGGCCUAUUCUUACUCCCUUGAAUCUGUAAUUCCAAGAUGACAGCAACAUUCAAAUAUCCUUUCAUAAGGAAGAUUCUGGAUAUUCCUCGAUCCUCUUCCCCCAUCUACGAUAUUCCCUGUUGCUUUCUUUCCAAGGAUGUGCUAUUAUUAUAUGAUAUAUGCAUAUAUAUAAAGUAUAAUUAAACAUAGUAAUACAAAAAUGUCUUACUAGCGUUGUUGCUAAUUAUCAUGAAUAAUUUUAAAUUAUUCAUUGGCUAAUGGGAGAAAGAAUUCUUUGAAAGAGAUCAUCCCGUUAAGGAAAUAGAACUUUGAAAUGAUUCUCCUGCAGUUAUAAGCAGCUUACAAUGGAAAAUAAGUAAGCUCAUAAAAAAUAAUCACCUAGGAGUUCCCUUCGUGGCGCAGUGGUUAACGAAUCUGACUAGGAACCAUGAGGUUGUGGGUUCGAUCCCUGCCCUCGCUCAGUGGGUUAACGAUCUGGCGUUGCCAUGAGCUGUGGUGUAGGUCGAAGACUCGGCUCAAAUCCCGAGUUGCUGUGUCUCUGGCGUAGGCCAGUGGCUACAGCUCUGAUUUGACCCCUAGCCUGGGAACCUCCAUAUGCCGCGGGAGCGGCCCAAGAAAU
rnacentral:lncRNA from 1 species